rnacentral:rRNA from 1 species
UACGGGAGGCAGCGAGUGGGGAAUAUUGCACAAUGGGCGCAAGCCUGAUGCAGCCAUGCCGCGUGUAUGAAGAAGGCCUUCGGGUUGUAAAGUACUUUCAGUCGUGAGGAAGGUGUUAAGGUUAAUAACCUUAGCAAUUGACGUUAGCGACAGAAGAAGCACCGGCUAACUCCGUGCCAGCAGCCGCGGUAAUACGGAGGGUGCGAGCGUUAAUCGGAAUUACUGGGCGUAAAGGGCACGCAGGCGGUUAAUUAAGUUGGAUGUGAAAUCCCCGGGCUUAACCUGGGAAUGGCAUUCAAGACUGGUUAGCUAGAGUCUUGUAGAGGGGGUAGAAUUCCAUGUGUAGCGGUGAAAUGCGUAGAGAUGUGGAGGAAUACCGGUGGCGAAGGCGGCCCCUGGGACAAAGACUGACGCUCAUGUGCGAAAGCGUGGGGAGCAAACAGGAUUAGAUACC